GAUGAACGCUGGCGGCGUGCCUAAUACAUGCAAGUCGAGCGAACAGACGAGGAGCUUGCUCCUCUGACGUUAGCGGCGGACGGGUGAGUAACACGUGGAUAACCUACCUAUAAGACUGGGAUAACUUCGGGAAACCGGAGCUAAUAACGGAUAAUAUAUUGAACCGCAUGGUUCAAUAGUGAAAGACGGGUUUGCUGUCACUUAUAGAUGGAUCCGCGCCGCAUUAGCUAGUUGGUAAGGUAACGGCUUACCAAGGCGACGAUGCGUAGCCGACCUGAGAGGGUGAUCGGCCACACUGGAACUGAGACACGGUCCAGACUCCUACGGGAGGCAGCAGUAGGGAAUCUUCCGCAAUGGGCGAAAGCCUGACGGAGCAACGCCGCGUGAGUGAUGAAGGUCUUCGGAUCGUAAAACUCUGUUAUUAGGGAAGAACAAAUGUGUAAGUAACUAUGCACGUCUUGACGGUACCUAAUCAGAAAGCCACGGCUAACUACGUG
rnacentral:rRNA from 1 species